rnacentral:rRNA from 1 species
CCUACGGGUGGCAGCAGUGAGGAAUAUUGGUCAAUGGACGCAAGUCUGAACCAGCCAUGCCGCGUGCAGGAAGACGGCUCUAUGAGUUGUAAACUGCUUUUGUACGAGGGUAAACGCAGAUACGCGUAUCUGUCUGAAAGUAUCGUACGAAUAAGGAUCGGCUAACUCCGUGCCAGCAGCCGCGGUAAUACGGAGGAUUCAAGCGUUAUCCGGAUUUAUUGGGUUGAAAGGGUGCGUAGGCGGUCGGAUAAGUUAGAGGUGAAAUCCCGAGGCUCAACUUCGGAAUUGCCUCUGAUACUGUUCGUCUAGAGAGUAGUUGCGGUAGGCGGAAUGUAUGGUGUAGCGGUGAAAUGCUUAGAGAUCAUACAGAACACCGAUUGCGAAGGCAGCUUACCAAGCUACUUCUGACGUUGAGGCACGAAAGCGUGGGGAGCAAACAGGAUUAGAUACCCGAGUAGUC